CCUACGGGAGGCAGCAGUAGGGAAUAUUGGGACAAUGGGCGCAAGCCUGAUCCAGCCAUCCCGCGUGAAGGAUUAAGGCCCUCUGGGUUGUAAACUUCUUUUCUCUGGGAAUAAAACCGGUAUUCAUACUGGCUUGAAGGUACCAGAGGAAUAAGCACCGGCUAACUCCGUGCCAGCAGCCGCGGUAAUACGGAGGGUGCAAGCGUUAUCCGGAUUCACUGGGUUUAAAGGGUGCGUAGGUGGCUUUGUAAGUCAGUGGUGAAAUGCCGCAGCUCAACUGCGGAACUGCCAUUGAUACUGCUUAGCUUGAAUCACGUCGAGGUGGAUGGAAUAAUACAUGUAGCGGUGAAAUGCUUAGAUAUGUAUUAGAACACCGAUUGCGAAGGCAGUUCACUAGGCGUGUAUUGACACUGAGGCACGAAAGCGUGGGGAUCAAACAGGAUUAGAUACCCUGGUAGUCCACGACCUAACGACUAGUAACUACGACAUAGUACGAUAUACUAGUUAGUGUCACGACGAAGACGUUAAGUUUAACCGUACCGUACGGAAGGACGUAACCGCGAGUUAGUUAACGUACAAAUUAGUAAGUUAGACGGCGUGAGAGNGCGACGGACGACGACGAGGGAGGAGG
rnacentral:rRNA from 1 species